AACGAACGCUGGCGGCAGGCCUAACACAUGCAAGUCGAGCGGACCUUUCGGGGUCAGCGGCGGACGGGUGAGUAACGCGUGGGAAUAUGCCCUUCUCUACGGAAUAGUCCUGGGAAACUGGGGGUAAUACCGUAUACGCCCUUUGGGGGAAAGAUUUAUCGGGGAAGGAUUAGCCCGCGUUGGAUUAGGUAGUUGGUGGGGUAAUGGCCUACCAAGCCGACGAUCCAUAGCUGGUUUGAGAGGAUGAUCAGCCACACUGGGACUGAGACACGGCCCAGACUCCUACGGGAGGCAGCAGUGGGGAAUCUUAGACAAUGGGGGCAACCAUGAUCUAGCCAUGCCGCGUGAGUGAUGAAGGCCUUAGGGUUGUAAAGCUCUUUCAGCUGGGAAGAUAAUGACGGUACCAGCAGAAGAAGCCCCGGCUAACUCCGUG
rnacentral:rRNA from 1 species